rnacentral:lncRNA from 1 species
UACAACAUAGGCAUUUCAUGACCAUGAAUGUUCCAAGAGGUGACCGUACAAGGAAAGUGAACAAAUGGCAUUCCAUAAAACUGAUCACUAUACUAAUCUUGGCAAAGCUUCUCAGCGAAACACGUCGAAAUAGUAAUAGUGUGACAUCCUUACAAAGUGCUAAUUUCUCUUAGUUACAUAUAUGUAAGUGACAUUGGCAAUACAGUUAAAGGAUGAAGUAUCUGAUGCAACUAAAGUAGACGUGGAAAGCUGCAAUGCUCUCAGUGGAUGGAUGAGCUCCUUCAACUGUUGGUGCAUUCAAUACUCCCAAUGCUUGUGCCCUGUAUAUUUGUAGAGGAAAAAAGAUCAGUGGAAGUACUACACAUACAGAUCCAAAAUGCAACCGUGACCUUUCUGUUCAGAUCAAUACAAAUGAUUUUUUUAUAAAUAACAGUGCAAGACAAUACAAAUACUAUUUGGUGAGAAAUGUGGCCCCAUUUGGUCAUGUACAUUACAAACUUAACUAUAUACAAACUAUGCAAAGAUGAGCGCACAUUAUUCUUACCAAGGAAGAAGCUACAUAAUCAAUGUCAGCUUUAGUUGGUUCAGUAUAUGUACAGAAAUCACCAGCACUUAGGGUCGCAGCAGCAUUGGUCUCGAGUAAAUAAUAAUAUAAAUAUUUAAUAAAAAUAAACCCAGUGAUGCUCAACCGAUCUGUGGAUGAAUUUAUUUGGCUGACAUCUAGUAACUACUGUUAUUAGCAUAUACUAUCUCCAUUGCUAAAUAUAUGACGUUUUGGCAGUUUAAAUUAAAAUGCCCAAAUGUCUUAUGUUUAGGAGUUGAGGUAGUACAUAGUUAGACACGGUAAAUCAUAAUGAAGCCAUUUGUUGUUACUCAUACAAUUGGAAUCACAUUUAAUAAUAGUUCUUUAUUUGAGCAAAGGUUAAAUGCAAAUUAUAUAAAAAAUUCUUAACAACCUUCAUCAUCUGCGCUGGUUCCACAACAUUCUACAAAACACCUAUGCUAAUUUCUAGGGAUGAAAAUGCAGCGGAAACGGACAGAACUGAGUGCUACCACAUUUGUUUUCAUAUUCUUUUGCAGAAGCGGAAACGAAUACAGAAACCCCGGAAAUGAAUGCGGAAACAGAUACUACCAGAAACGGACACGGAGCGAAUACAAAGCAGACACGGAAACAUAAGUGGGUGUUGACCGGAACUUAAAACCCCUUUGAAUCAUAGAGAAAUACACACAAACACAAACAAAUUUACUGAAUUAUUAAUUAACAUGGCUACAAAAUAAUAUCAUUGUGUUAACAACUUAUGUAGUAUUGUAGUAGUACUGGACAAUUGCACAUAGGAUCAAGCUGAGUACAUGUGUGGUGGUAGAAGUUGGGCCUCAAAUGAUCCGUUCUACUCAUUGUGUCAUUGUGUGUUUUUGGUGUGGUUGGGCUACAAAGCAGCCAUAGGUCUAUGAUCAAAACGGAAAUUCCAUAUUCACGGAAACGAAAAGUUCCGUUUCUAUGCAUGUUCCACCGGAAAACACCGUUCCGUUUUUGUUUCCGUUUCCGCAUAAAAACAUUCCAUUUCCACUUCCGUUUUGCAAAUUUCCAUUUCCGUUUCCAUAUUUUCCCUCUGUUUCCAUUUUUCCUUUGGAAAAACGGAAUGUUUCCACUCCACUUUCAUCCUUACUAAUUUCUUCAAACACGACUAAGAUAAUCAACUUAGAAGUGAGGCUGUGAGAGGCAUGGUUCACCUUGAUCGUCCAACAUGAGGAAGCCAGGGAGGCGACCACAAUCUGGUUGCAGGCUCAUAGUGAAGCACCAGUCACCAUGGUGAGUUGUAGCACAAGAGCAGCUGCAGUUACCUAUCCACACAAAUUUCAUACUAUAUAUUGAAUUAAUCACAGAAAGUUAUUUUAAUUGUCCAGGCCCAAUAGAAAUUCAUAUAGUUUACAUGUCAAAAUGGCACACGGCAUAUGGUAGAAGACACUAUGUUACAUGGCAAUACAUGGAUCAUCAUCUCCCUCACAUUUGUUUGUAACACUGAAAAACAAAUAUAUAUGAUUAGCAGUGAGCCAAUGACAAGAAAUUUAUACACACCUAUUCAUUUUAGGUGGCCAUAAGCGCAAUAACUAAAGAUAUGUAAUGUAUGUGUGCCACUGGAGAAAACACAUCCUUACAUGCAUGGUUAGUACACACAUUAUAAGACAAAGAUAUACUUGUGCACUUAAAUUACUGUUGUGCUCUUAUCUUAGACCAUGUGGUUCUAUCAAACUUUCUAUAUGCUCAUAGUGAAUUUGCAAAGAUAAUCCUCGCUGAAUUUUGUGUUUUCUUCCUUUAUCAAUAAAUGUCUUAUAUUAGUCUGCAGACAGUUGUGUUUUGCCAUUAGAUAGUAUUUAUGUCUAACAAAAUUGGAGAAGCCACACCAAAAGUGAGAUAAGAACGUUACCUUCGAACAUUUGACUCGGCAACGGGAUAGUAUCAGUGCAGGUAUUUCAAGCAUGCAUGAAGUAGUGAGCGAGCAACAACAACCUCUUCAAACUUUCUUGCGUGAAAUUAUUCAUAAUGUAAUGAAGGCACUAUAAUACCGCACAAAAAAUCUUAUACAAGAUUAAAGGAAAAAUUGGGUGAGAGGCUGAUAAAUGAAACGUCUUAAAUUUGAUUGCAUGGUAAUUUCACCAUUCAAUUUUAACAUACAGUAAUGUUUUACUUACAUAUCUAACAUGG